rnacentral:rRNA from 1 species
GAUGAACGCUAGCGGCAGGCCUAAUACAUGCAAGUCGAACGGUGUCUUCGGACAUAGUGGCGCACGGGUGCGUAACACGUAUGCAACCUACCUUACAUUGGGGGAUAGCCUUUCGAAAGGGAGAUUAAUACCGCAUAAGACAGUAGCUGGGCAUCCAGCAGCUGUUAAAGAUUUAUCGAUGUAAGCUGGGCAUGCGUCCAAUUAGCUAGUUGGUGAGGUAACGGCUCACCAAGGCAAUGAUUGGUAGGGGAACUGAGAGGUCAAUCCCCCACACUGGCACUGAGAUACGGGCCAGACUCCUACGGGAGGGAGGAGUAGGGAAUAUUGGGCAAUGGACGCAAGUCUGGCCCAGCCAUGCCGCGUGCAGGAUGAAGGCGUUAUGCGUUGUAAACUGCUUUUAUACAGGAAGAAACGACUCUUGCGAGAGGCAUUGACGGUACUGUAUGAAUAAGCACCGGCUAACUCCGUGCCAGCAGCCGCCGUAACAC